GAUGAACGCUGGCGGCGUGCCUAAUACAUGCAAGUCGAGCGAACGGACGAGAAGCUUGCUUCUCUGAUGUUAGCGGCGGACGGGUGAGUAACACGUGGAUAACCUACCUAUAAGACUGGGAUAACUUCGGGAAACCGGAGCUAAUACCGGAUAAUAUUUUGAACCGCAUGGUUCAAUAGUGAAAGACGGUCUUGCUGUCACUUAUAGAUGGAUCCGCGCUGCAUUAGCUAGUUGGUAAGGUAACGGCUUACCAAGGCAACGAUGCGUAGCCGACCUGAGAGGGUGAUCGGCCACACUGGAACUGAGACACGGUCCAGACUCCUACGGGAGGCAGCAGUAGGGAAUCUUCCGCAAUGGGCGAAAGCCUGACGGAGCAACGCCGCGUGAGUGAUGAAGGUCUUCGGAUCGUAAAACUCUGUUAUUAGGGAAGAACAAAUGUGUAAGUAACUGUGCACGUCUUGACGGUACCUAAUCAGAAAGCCACGGCUAACUACGUG
rnacentral:rRNA from 1 species